rnacentral:lncRNA from 1 species
CUGGGGGAUGUGCUGGCACUACUGGGACAGGAGCAAACUCCGCGGGACUUCCUGGUACACCAGGCAGGUGUUCUGGGAGGACUUGUGGAGGUACUGCUGGGAGCUUUAGUUCCUGGGGAGCCUCCUUCCCCUACAAGGCCGCUGUGUACCUGUGAUGGGCCUUCUGACUGUGUCCUAGCUGCUGACUGGUUGCCUUCUCUGCUGCUGCUGUUAGAGGGCACCCACUGGCAGGCCCUGGUGCAGGUGCAGCCCAGCAUGGACCCCACCAAUGCCACAGGUUUUGAGGGGAGGGAGCCAGCACCUCACCUUCUGCAGGGUCUGUUGGGCUUGCUUACCCCACCAGGGGAGCUGGGCUCUGAGGAUGCUCUUUGGGGUGGUCUGCUACGCACAGUGGGGGCCCCCCUCUAUACUGCCUUCCAGGAGGGGCUGCUCCGUGUCACACACUCCCUGCAGGAUGAGGUCUUUUCCAUUAUGGGCCAGCCAGAGCCUGAUGCCAAUGGGCAGUGCCAUGGAGGUAACCUUCAACAGCUGCUCUUAUGGUAAGUAGCAAGAGACCAAUUCCAAGAAUUUGGGCCGAUAAAUCUGGAGGUGGUGGGAUGCUGAAG